rnacentral:rRNA from 1 species
UAUCUAGCGAAACCCAGCCAAGGGUAACGGGCUUGGCAGAAUCAGCGGGGAAAGAAGACCCUGUUGAGUUUGACUCUAGUCUGACCUUGUGAAGAGACACGGGGGGUGUAGAAUAGGUGGGAGGCCGGGCUCGCCCCGGUUCGCCGGUGAAAUACCACUACUCUCGUCGUUUCUUUACUUAUU